UACAGAGGUCUCAAGCGUUGUUCGGAUUCAUUGGGCGUAAAGGGUGUGUAGGUGGCUGCGUAAGUCGGAUGUGAAAGCCCUGGGCUCAACUCAGGAAGUGCACUCGAUACUGCGUAGCUCGAGUACCGGAGAGGUUGGUGGAAUUCUCGGUGUAGAGGUGAAAUUCGUAGAUAUCGAGAGGAACACCUGUGGCGAAGGCGGCCAACUGGACGAGUACUGACACUGAGACACGAAAGCGUGGGGAGCAAACAGG
rnacentral:rRNA from 1 species